UGAAUGGGAGAUAUCAUCUGCCCAACGAAGAGAGAGAAGCUCCUGCUUCAGAUGCGGGAGUCUACCCAGGGCCCUGGCUCCUCAUUCCUGGGAGCUAGGAUCCCAGCUGUCAUCAAGUGAAUCAAGAGUACUUCCUCUGGGCCGCUGCUGUGGGACAUGAAGGAGGGAGGAGGUUGCCCUCCUCCAUCAUGCCCAAGAAAGCUUUCAUCUUGCAAGAUCACUUCAGCCUUGGCACCUUGGGCCCCAUCUUAUGAUUGGAGGGUGGAGACCUCUCCUCCCAGAAGCUCCAUUGAAGGAGGGCGCCCAGGAACCCAACAUCCAGUGAAAUGAAGUGACAAGGUACAGUCACACGGGAGAAACUUGGCCAACCCGAGGUCUGGGGGUGAGGGAGGCUGGGGAAAUGGUGCUCAGCUCAGUGGGGAGGAGGCUCCGAGCCAGGGCUCCAAACACUCCGAGGCAGUGUAACAGGACAAAAGCAGGCCUAGUCCAAUGGGUGGAAAGGGAGAGCCAAGUGGAUUGAGCCAUUUGUCCUGAGAUGGGGAUGCCCUUGGUGCUUUUUAGACCCCCCGCCCCCAAAGGUGAAGGCAGUGCCCCCGAGGCUGGGACACUUGAUUGGCUGGCUCCCAACCUUUUUUUUUUUUUUGUUUUUGUUUUUGGCAAUUGGGAUUAAG
rnacentral:lncRNA from 1 species